rnacentral:rRNA from 1 species
UACGUAGGCAGCAAGCGUUGUUCGGAGUUACUGGGCGUAAAGGGUGCGUAGGCGGCUUCUUAAGUCUGGUGUGAAAUCUCCCGGCUCAACUGGGAGGGUGCGCCGGAUACUGAGGGGCUAGAGUGUGGGAGAGGAAAGUGGAAUUCCUGGUGUAGCGGUGAAAUGCGCAGAUAUCGGGAAGAACACCCGUGGCGAAGGCGGUUCUCUGGGACGGUACUGACGCUGAGACGCGAAAGCGUGGGGAGCGAACAGG